rnacentral:rRNA from 1 species
UACAGAGGUCCCAAGCGUUGUUCGGAUUUAUUGGGCGUAAAGGGAGCGUAGGCGGCAGGGUAAGUCAGGUGUUAAAAUUCGAAGCUCAACUUCGAAGCGCAUUUGAUACUGCCUUGCUAGAGGAGUGGAGAGGAGACAGGAAUUCACGGUGUAGCAGUGAAAUGCGUAGAUAUCGUGAGGAAGACCCAUGGACGAAAGCAUGGUCUCUGGAAACUACCUG